rnacentral:rRNA from 1 species
UACGUAGGGUGCAAGCGUUGUCCGGAAUUAUUGGGCGUAAAGAGCUCGUAGGCGGUCUGUCGCGUCUGCUGUGAAAACUCAGGGCUUAACCCUGAGCUUGCAGUGGGUACGGGCAGACUAGAGUGUGGUAGGGGAGACUGGAAUUCCUGGUGUAGCGGUGAAAUGCGCAGAUAUCAGGAGGAACACCGGUGGCGAAGGCGG